GAAACAAAUAUCAGAGAUGAGAUGGAAGGGCAUCCAGAGACUGCCGCACCCAAGGAUCCAUCCCAUAAACAACCACCAAACCCAGACACUAUAGCAUAUGCCAGCAAGAUUUUGCUGACAGGACCCUGAUAUAUCUAUCUCUUGUGAGGCUAUACCAGUGCCUGACAAAUACAGAAGUGGAUGCUCACAGUCAUCCAUUGGAUGGAACACAGGGCCCCCAAUGAAAGAGCUAGAGAAGGUACCCAAGGAGCUAAAGUGGUCUGCAACCCUAUAGGAGGAACAACAAUAUGAACUAAUCCGUUCCCCCCAGAGCUUGUGUCUCUAGUUGCAUAUGUAGCAGAGGGUGGCCUAGUCGGCCAUCAAUGGAAGGAAAGGCCCUUGGUCUUGUGUAGAUUAUAUGCCCCAGUACAGGGGAAUGCCAGGGCCAGGAAGCAGGAGUAGGUGGGUUGGGGAGCAGGGCAGGGAGGGGGGAAGGUAUAGGGGACUUUUGGGGUAGCAUUUGAAAUGAAAAUGAAGGAAACAUCUAAUAAAAAAUAUCUUAAAAAAAAAAGAAUUCCAGCAGAAUUAACAGCAUUUGCUGUGAAGGUUGCUAAUUUGAAGAGAAAAUUCAUUUAAAAAGAAAUUUCUUUUUUUUUUCUUUUCAGUUUUUUUUUUUUUAUUAGAGAGGCCCAUUGGACUUGCAAACUUUAUAAAAAGAAAUUUCUUAAAGUAGCAACUAGUCAAGAGCUGUGUUAUAUCACCUGAGAAGCCUCAUUCCUUUCCCCAGUUAUUUCCUGGGAGGCUCAAACAGGACUGUCAACUCUGUUUACAGUGAGGACGCUUUAACUUCCCUGAUAUCUAGACUUUUACUUUGUCAAUUGUAAGCCUGGUGAGCGUCCCUCAGGAAACACCUAGUGAUCUCAUUUAGUUAGAUGUCCUAGGAACCCUUUGAAGAUAGUAACUUCAAACCUCACCAAAAUCCUGUGUGACUGCUGUUAAAAAUAAAUGAGCUAUGUCUCUUGGAGGAAAACAAAACAAAACAAAACAAAGUAGAUCAGGUGUUAAGUCUCGGAUUUAUAGUCAUUUUCGUUUGCUAUGCAUGUUAGCAUUGACAUCAUACCCAGCUUGAGUAUUAUUUGAGUCAAGAUAGUGUAUACAUACCUGGAUUCUGGUAUUUUUCAAAGACAUUGUCACUCAACAAACACACUAAGAACUACUUGCACAUAUAACCAAGGAAGUUUGGAUUCAAAUCAGUUGUCAUUACUGAAAAGUAGUCUAAAAACAACCCACUAUCUUCAAUUUGUAAUUAAAAUAAACAUACAAACAUCAUUUAGAGACAUCCUACAUGAUACGACAAAAGGAAAAGCAUUAAUAUCACAGUAGGGGACUCUGGUUUGAAUCUCUACUACUAGCUGCACAUUCCUACACAAAUGCAUGAGGUCACUGGGUCUCAGUGUACUCACCUGCAAAAUACCAAGUCUCAGAACAAUGCCCGGCACUAUGUGGUCUGAUAUAAUACCAAAAUGGAAAACCUUGUGGGACCCACAUCUUGACACACAUUAAUUUGAAAUUUAUGUCUUAAUAUUCCAGCAAAACAGGUUUCUCUGUCUAUAGAGAUCGGUUUUGAUAUUUGAGUUUUACCAACCACAAACUGCCAAUGCUAGUUCCUCUCAGACAUAAACAGAUAAAUAUCGGCAGCAAUUACAAUGUUCCCAACAUACAUAUUAAUAGUCAAUGAAAGAGGACGCUGUUUCUAUUUUCUCUUGUUAUCCCAGGAAUAUGCUUUUGAAAACAAGGCAGCCCUCUCCAUAUGGCUUGAACAGCCCCACUCAAUGGUCCCAAAGCAGUCAUUGCCAAGAGGUGAAGGAACACCAGAAGUUACAAGGACUAAUCUCUGGGAACAGGAGAGGCGGAUAUACAUUUAGGAAAGGAAAAGAACUGGCCUAGAAAAAGAGUUAGAUUAAAGAAGGAGGCCAGAAAAGAAAACUGGCUGACACGGGAAACCCACAAAAAAAAAAAAAAAAAAAAAAAAAAAACUCUGACACUAAAUCAUCACCUAUGUUAAUAGCUACAAUAUGCUAAACACAUAAUGAGUCUCAGACCAUUGUGUCGUUUCUAAUUCCCAGAACAUUCCAUUCUUGUUUUGCUUUUGUUCUUGGACAAGAGCUUACUUGGAAGGGGUCUUGUUUGGGUCAUUGUGUAAACUCCAUGCUGACAUCUCCAUUCUCAUCCCCUCCCUAAACCAACCAACACUUCCUGUAUGUGUUGCCAUCUCCUAGCAACCCAUUUCCUAACUCUUCACUAGAAUUUUUCUUUUCAGUGUGUCAUUUGAAUGUUAGAGUGCCCUGGGAAUGACUCAGUAUUCUCUCCUGUUAUCUAUAUAUUAUCUUUACCUGAAUGAUCUUUUCCAUUUGGUUGGUUCUAAAUAUCAGCAAAUAUUUCAGAAUUUUUAUCUACAGUCAAGCGCUCUAGUUGCAGCUUACAUAAUCUAUUUGAUUACUCACUCCUAAAUACUUACUUAAAAAUCUCUGCUUAGACCCAAAGCAAAACUUGACAUAGCUUAAAGGGAACUCUGCAUCUCUUUGCCCCAGAUAUUCUCCCCAGUUUUCAAACCAGUUUUAUACAAACUAUAUAACCUGGCCUCUGACUUCCUCUAGCACCAGAAUUCUUUCUAUUCCUGAAGCGUUCCAAGCUCCUUUAUACUCCAGAGUCCCUAUACUUGCUCCUCCUUAUGUAUAGAGCAUGUUACCCUACUCCCUUAAAAGCUAGUGUCAUUUUAAUAUUCAAAUAACAAAUAACAUUCAAAUAACUCAAAAUUCACUCAACCUCUGUCCCUUAAUUCCCUGAUUCCUGUCAGGUUAGUGCCAUAUAAUUCCAUUUAGUGUGCUAUGUACAUCUGCUAUGAGAACAGCUACUUGCUGCCUUAUGUCCUCAGCUAGAAGAUGCUGUUAUAAUUUGAAUAGGAAUUUUCCCCAUAGACUUAUCUAGUUGAAUACUUUGUGGCUGGAACUAUUUUGGAAGAUUGUGGAACCUUUAUUUAGUGAAGUCUCAAAGUGGGAAAUGGGGACACUAGGGGUGGGUUUGUAACUUGUAUAGAUUGGCCCUCAUUCCUUGAGUUUUGUUUUCUGACUACAGAUGUGCUGAGACCAGUUACCUCAUGUUCUUGGACUCGUUCCCUUCCCAAAUAAUCUGUACCCUUCUCAAAUGGUGAAUCAAAAUGAAUCUUUCCAUUUAUAAGCUGUCUCUGGUAUUUUGUUUCACACAUAAGGGAAAUUAGCUAAUAUAAUGAGGAUAGGGUGUUUUAGUCUACUUUAUUCUACAUUAUAUCCCAACAUUUAAAAUAGCAUGCACCAUACACUAACUACUAAGCAUAUAAUUCUGGAGUGAACAACAAAAAAAGAUACCAUAGCAUGCAAACAUUUUAUUCCUGACACAAAUAAAAUUGAGAAUAACAACGGUUAGAGAUUUUGCUGAAGUUCAGCUAGAUUUUUGUAGGAACUCUACAUGGUAUCACUGGAACAAGAGCAUCUAAGACAAGUGUUCCUUCUACUUCAGCACUUAGAUUUUAAACUGCUUAUUCAGGACCAAUGUUAAUAUUCUUCUCUAACUACUUUGCUUUUUAAUGUGAUCAGAGUUUGCCUAUUGCUGCAUUGGUAUCAACAGUUCUCUGUAAGGAAAGACAUGGAACCUGGAGCACUGAAGUUUCUG
rnacentral:lncRNA from 1 species